AGUGAACGCUGGCGGUAGGCCUAACACAUGCAAGUCGAACGGUAGCACAGGAGAGCUUGCUCUCUGGGUGGCGAGUGGCGGACGGGUGAGGAAUACAUCGGAAUCUACUCUGUCGUGGGGGAUAACGUAGGGAAACUUACGCUAAUACCGCAUACGACCUCCGGGUGAAAGCAGGGGAUCUUCGGACCUUGCGCGAUUGAAUGAGCCGAUGUCGGAUUAGCUAGUUGGCGGGGUAAAGGCCCACUAAGGCGACGAUCCGUAGCUGGUCUGAGAGGAUGAUCAGCCACACUGGAACUGAGACACGGUCCAGACUCCGACGGGAGGCAGCAGUGGGAAUAUUGGACAAUGGGCGCAAGCCUGAUCCAGCCAUACCGCGUGGGUGAAGAAGGCCUUCGGGUUGUAAAGCCCUUUUGUUGGGAAAGAAAUCCAGCUGGCUAAUACCCGGUUGGGAUGACGGUACCCAAAGAAUAAGCACCGGCUAACUUCGUGCCAGCAGCCGCAGUAA
rnacentral:rRNA from 1 species